rnacentral:rRNA from 1 species
AUACCGCAUACGAUCUACGGAUGAAAGUGGGGGAUCGCAAGACCUCAUGCUCAUGGAGCGGCCGAUAUCUGAUUAGCUAGUUGGUAGGGUAAAAGCCUACCAAGGCUUCGAUCAGUAGCUGGUCUGAGAGGACGACCAGCCACACUGGAACUGAGACACGGUCCAGACUCCUACGGGAGGCAGCAGUGGGGAAUUUUGGACAAUGGGCGCAAGCCUGAUCCAGCAAUGCCGCGUGAGUGAAGAAGGCCUUCGGGUUGUAAAGCUCUUUUGUCAGGGAAGAAACGGUGGACUCUAAUACAGAUCACUAAUGACGGUACCUGAAGAAUAAGCACCGGCUAACUACGUGCCAGCAGCCGCGGUAAUACGUAGGGUGCAAGCGUUAAUCGGAAUUACUGGGCGUAAAGCGUGCGCAGUCGGUUGUGCAAGACAGAUGUGAAAUCCCCGGGCUCAACCUGGGAAUUGCAUUUGUGACUGCACGGCUAGAGUGUGUCAGAGGGGGGUAGAAUUCCACGUGUAGCAGUGAAAUGCGUAGAGAUGUGGAGGAAUACCGAUGGCGAAGGCAGCCCCCUGGGAUAACACUGACGCUCAUGCACGAAAGCGUGGGGAGCAAACAGGAUUAGAUACCCUGGUAGUCCACGCCCUAAACGAUGUCUACUAGUUGUUGGGUCUUAAUUGACUUAGUAACGCAGCUAACGCGUGAAGUAGACCGCCUGGGGAGUACGGUCGCAAGAUUAAAACUCAAAGGAAUUGACGGGGACCCGCACAAGCGGUGGAUGAUGUGGUUUAAUUCGAUGCAACGCGAAAAACCUUACCUACCCUUGACAUGUACGGAAUCCCUGAGAGAUUAGGGAGUGCUCGAAAGAGAGCCGUAACACAGGUGCUGCAUGGCUGUCGUCAGCUCGUGUCGUGAGAUGUUGGGUUAAGUCCCGCAACGAGCGCAACCCUUGUCAUUAGUUGCUACGAAAGGGCACUCUAAUGAGACUGCCGGUGACAAACCGGAGGAAGGUGGGGAUGACGUCAAGUCCUCAUGGCCCUUAUGGGUAGGGCUUCACACGUCAUACAAUGGUACAUACAGAGGGCCGCCAACCCGCGAGGGGGAGCUAAUCCCAGAAAGUGUAUCGUAGUCCGGAUUGUAGUCUGCAACUCGACUACAUGAAGUUGGAAUCGCUAGUAAUCGCGGAUCAGCAUGUCGCGGUGAAUACGUUCCCGGGUCUUGUACACACCGCCCGUCACACCAUGGGAGCGGGUUUCACCAGAAGUAGGUAGCCUAACCGUAGGGAGGGCGCUUACCACGGUGGGAUUCGUGACUGGGGUGAAGUCGUAACAAGGUA